AUUGAACGCUGGCGGCGUGCUUAACACAUGCAAGUCGUGCGGUAACAGGCGUAGCAAUACGUGCUGACGAGCGGCGAACGGGUGCGUAAUACAUGGGAAUCUGCCCUUUAGUGGGGAAUAACCCGGCGAAAGCCGGGCUAAAUGCCGCAUAAGAUCGUCGGAUGAAAGCGGGGGAUCGUAAGACCUCGCGCUGAUGGAUGAGCCCAUGUUCGGAUUAGCAGUUGGUGAGGUAAAGGCUCACCAAGGCGACGAUCCGUAGCUGGUCUGAGAGGACGGCCAGCCACACUGGGACU
rnacentral:rRNA from 1 species